AUUUCUAUCAAUAUCAAUUUGAGUAUUGAAUUUUGAAACCUAUGUAUUUUAAAAUUUUAUAUAAGAAUAUGAUUUAAAAUCACAGGAAAUCUUAAUUAAUUAUUUACUACAAUCAAGUAUUAGCUUAACUUAUAAAUUCCAGGACCGUUUUGGAAAAAAAAGUUUAGUAAGUGGAUGUUAUUGUGAACAACCAGAAUUCGCUUAUAUUAAACCUGUUUUCUUUGGAUUGGAGAAAAUAGCAAGGAGUAGAAGUAUUACAUUUCCUGGAAAUACAGAUUACUAGUGAAAGUGAACAAACAACUGAAGAUGCGUCGGAAAAUUAUCUUCUUUGGUAGACCAAUAAAAGAGAGUAUAGUGUUUUGUAAUGGAGUCGUUUGAAAAUAAUAAUUUCAACAUGUGGAUAAAACUAAAAUUUUUAAUUAUAGUGUUACCGUAUGUCACUAUUCUUUUUCCAUUACCUAAUAAUUUAUUUUUCUAUACCAUGUGAGCAAAUCCAAAAUAGGCUCCUUUCGAACUAAUACAAUUGUGCCUACACUUAAUUUUUAAUACACUUGUUGUAAGCUCCGGCUAGAGAAGCGUUGAGUACCUUAAAUAAAUUACUUUUUAGAGCUUCAAUAGACUCAUAGUGUAUAUUUUUAAGUACUGAAAAAAGAAAAA